GGACGAACGCUGGCGGCGUGCCUAAUACAUGCAAGUUGAGCGCUGAAGGUUGGUACUUGUACCGACUGGAUGAGCAGCGAACGGGUGAGUAACGCGUGGGGAAUCUGCCUUUGAGCGGGGGACAACAUUUGGAAACGAAUGCUAAUACCGCAUAAAAACUUUAAACACAAGUUUUAAGUUUGAAAGAUGCAAUUGCAUCACUCAAAGAUGAUCCCGCGUUGUAUUAGCUAGUUGGUGAGGUAAAGGCUCACCAAGGCGAUGAUACAUAGCCGACCUGAGAGGGUGAUUGGCCACAUUGGGACUGAGACACGGCCCAAACUCCUACGGGAGGCAGCAGUAGGGAAUCUUCGGCAAUGGACGAAAGUCUGACCGAGCAACGCCGCGUGAGUGAAGAAGGUUUUCGGAUCGUAAAACUCUGUUGGUAGAGAAGAACGUUGGUGAGAGUGGAAAGCUCAUCAAGUGACGGUAACUACCCAGAAAGGGACGGCUAACUACGUGCCAGCAGCCGCGGUAAUACGUAGGUCCCGAGCGUUGUCCGGAUUUAUUGGGCGUAAAGCGAGCGCAGGUGGUUUAUUAAGUCUGGUGUAAAAGGCAGUGGCUCAACCAUUGUAUGCAUUGGAAACUGGUAGACUUGAGUGCAGGAGAGGAGAGUGGAAUUCCAUGU
rnacentral:rRNA from 1 species